ensembl:snoRNA
CUUCUGUUGAUGAUAACCUUUGUCCAGUUCUGCUGCUGAAUAAAGAGCGAUGACAGGUAUUGAUCUGAAGAAG